UACGAAGGGUGCAAACGUUGCUCGGAAUUACUGGGCGUAAAGGGCGCGUAGGCGGCCUACUAAGUCAGACGUGAAAUCCCCCGGCUUAACCUGGGAACUGCGUCUGAUACUGGAAGGCUUGAGGAUGGGAGAGGGAUGUAGAAUUCCAGGUGUAGCGGUGAAAUGCGUAGAUAUCUGGAGGAAUACCGGUGGCGAAGGCGGCAUCCUGGACCAUUACUGACGCUGAGGCGCGAAAGCUAGGGGAGCAAACGGG
rnacentral:rRNA from 1 species